rnacentral:rRNA from 1 species
CCUACGGGUGGCAGCAGUGGGGGAUAUUGCACAAUGGGGGGAACCCUGAUGCAGCGACGCCGCGUGGGUGAAGAAGCGCCUCGGCGCGUAAAGCCCUGUCAGCAGGGAAGAAAAUGACGGUACCUGAAGAAGAAGCCCCGGCUAACUACGUGCCAGCAGCCGCGGUAAUACGUAGGGGGCAAGCGUUAUCCGGAUUUACUGGGUGUAAAGGGAGCGUAGACGGCAAGGCAAGUCUGGAGUGAAAGCCCGUGGCUCAACCACGGGACUGCUUUGGAAACUGUGUUGCUGGAGUGCAGGAGGGGUAAGCGGAAUUCCUAGUGUAGCGGUGAAAUGCGUAGAUAUUAGGAGGAACACCGGUGGCGAAGGCGGCUUACUGGACUGUAACUGACGUUGAGGCUCGAAGGCGUGGGGAGCAAACAGGAUUAGAUACCCCUGUAGUC